GCGAUCAUACCAGCACUAAUGCACCGGAUCCCAUCAGAACUCCGAAGUUAAGCGUGCUUGGGCGAGAGCAGUACUAGGUUGCACCUAUUUUUUGUUUUUAUU
rnacentral:rRNA from 1 species